CUAAAAACCCCAACUUCGGAAGGGGUGUAUUUAUUAGAUAAAAAACCAAUGCCCUUCGGGGCUCCUUGGUGAUUCAUAAUAACUAAACGAAUCGCAUGGCCUUGCGCCGGCGAUGGUUCAUUCAAAUUUCUGCCCUAUCAACUUUCGAUGGUAGGAUAGUGGCCUACCAUGGUUUCAACGGGUAACGGGGAAUUAGGGUUCUAUUCCGGAGAGGGAGCCUGAGAAACGGCUACCACAUCCAAGGAAGGCAGCAGGCGCGCAAAUUACCCAAUCCCGACACGGGGAGGUAGUGACAAUAAAUACUGAUACAGGGCUCUUACGGGUCUUGUAAUUGGAAUGAGUACAAUUUAAAUCCCUUAACGAGGAACAAUUGGAGGGCAAGUCUGGU
rnacentral:rRNA from 1 species